AGUGAACGCUGGCGGUAGGCCUAACACAUGCAAGUCGAACGGCAGCACAGUAAGAGCUUGCUCUUACGGGUGGCGAGUGGCGGACGGGUGAGGAAUACAUCGGAAUCUACUUUUUCGUGGGGGAUAACGUAGGGAAACUUACGCUAAUACCGCAUACGACCUACGGGUGAAAGCAGGGGAUCUUCGGACCUUGCGCGAUUGAAUGAGCCGAUGUCGGAUUAGCUAGUUGGCGGGGUAAAGGCCCACCAAGGCGACGAUCCGUAGCUGGUCUGAGAGGAUGAUCGGCCACACUGGAACUGAGACACGGUCCAGACUCCUACGGGAGGGAGCAGUGGGGAAUAGUGGACAAUGGGCGCAAGCCUGAUCCAGCCAUACCGCGUGGGUGAAGAAGGCCUUCGGGUUGUAAAGCCCUUUUGUUGGGAAAGAAAAGCAGCAGGUUAAUACCCCGCUGUUCUGACGGUACCCAAAGAAUAAGCACCGGCUAACUUCGUG
rnacentral:rRNA from 1 species